rnacentral:rRNA from 1 species
GACGAACGCUGGCGGCGUGCUUAACACCUGCAAGUCGAACGAAGUGGCGAACGGGUGAGUAAUACGUGGGUAACUUGCCGUCCUUUUUGGGAUAAGCCUUGGAAACGGGGUCUAAUACCGAAUAAAGGGGGAUGGGCUCGCGGCCUAUCAGCUUGUUGGUGUGGUGAUGGCCUACCCAGGCGGUGACGGGGAGCCGGCCUGAGAGGUGUACCUGCCACAUUGGGAUUGAUGUACGGAGCAGGCUCUGACGGGAGGUAGCAGUGGGGGAUAUUGGACAAAGGGCGUAAGCCGGAUACAUGUACGCCGCGUUGGGGAUGAAGGCAUGCGGGUUGUAAACCUCUUUCGCUAUCGAACGGGUAGGUGGUGAAGAAGCGCCGGAGAACUACGAGCCAGCAGCCGCGGUAAUAC